AUUGAGCGCUGGCGGCAGGCUUAACACAUGCAAGUCGAGCGGGGUGAUGGUGCUUGCACUAUCACUUAGCGGCGGACGGGUGAGUAAUGCUUAGGAAUCUGCCUAUUAGUGGGGGACAACAUCUCGAAAGGGAUGCUAAUACCGCAUACGUCCUACGGGAGAAAGCAGGGGAUCACUUGUGACCUUGCGCUAAUAGAUGAGCCUAAGUCGGAUUAGCUAGUUGGUGGGGUAAAGGCCUACCAAGGCGACGAUCUGUAGCGGGUCUGAGAGGAUGAUCCGCCACACUGGGACUGGGACACGGCCCAGAGUCCUACGGGAGGCAGCAGUGGGGAAUAUUGGACAAUGGGGGGAACCCUGAUCCAGCCAUGCCGCGUGUGUGAAGAAGGCCUUAUGGUUGUAAAGCACUUUAAGCGAGGAGGAGGCUCUUUUGGUUAAUACCCAAGAUGAGUGGACGUUACUCGCAGAAUAAGCACCGGCUAACUCUGUGCCAGCCGCCGCCGUAA
rnacentral:rRNA from 1 species